GGGGUGGUGGCGCAGUUGGCUAGCGCGUAGGUCUCAUAAUCCUGAGGUCGAGAGUUCGAGCCUCUCUCACCCCC
rnacentral:tRNA from 1 species